CAGUCGCCGCGGUAAUACAGAGGGUGCGAGCGUUAAUCGGAUUUACUGGGCGUAAAGCGUGCGUAGGCGGCUUCUUAAGUCGGAUGUGAAAUCCCUGAGCUUAACUUAGGAAUUGCAUUCGAUACUGGGAAGCUAGAGUAUGGGAGAGGAUGGUAGAAUUCCAGGUGUAGCGGUGAAAUGCGUAGAGAUCUGGAGGAAUACCGAUGGCGAAGGCAGCCAUCUGGCCUAAUACUGACGCUGAGGUACGAAAGCAUGGGGAGCAAACAGGAUUAGAUACCCGCGUAGUUCCUGUCUCUUAUAC
rnacentral:rRNA from 1 species